rnacentral:rRNA from 1 species
GCGUUGUCCGGAAUCACUGGGCGUAAAGGGCGCGUAGGCGGCUUUUCAAGCGUGCGGUGAAAGCUCGGGGCUUAACUCCGAGUCUGCCGUGCGAACUGGGAGGCUUGAGUCUGGUAGAGGUCGAUGGAAUUCCGGGUGUAGCGGUGGAAUGCGUAGAGAUCCGGAAGAACACCGGUGGCGAAGGCGGUCGACUGGGCCAGAACUGACGCUGAGGCGCGACAGCGUGGGGAGCAAACAGG